ACCCGUAGACCGCUCACCUCACUCAGAGAACUUCACGGCAGGAGCGGGGGACCCAGGUAAGUCGCCGGGCCGGACGUCUUCGGACAUACCGGUACGGCUCGGGGUGAAGUCAUGCCUUCUUCGGCAUGGCCGGGCAGCUCCCGCCCGAACCCGACAGCUCACCUCGCAGGCGCCGGAGAGGAAUU
rnacentral:sRNA from 2 species